AAUUCCUGCAUAAGGAUGUGUGAGCACAGAAUUCCAUCUUUCUGGAACUUACAGCAUAUGCAGUUAAAGUCUUUGUUCUCAAGAUUAGUCAUCACAAUGUAUUUUCUGGGUCUAUGUUGUUUUUCUACUAUGGAUGGUUUAGGAUAAACCUCGUACACCUUCCCCACCUCCAAACACCUGUAGCUGAAUCUUGUUGUGGCUUCGAUCUCUCUCUGAAAUUUGCUGAAUAUUUUCCUAUUAUACAUUUCCAUUCCCUGUUUUUCAACAUAAUAACUGCUCCACAACUCCUUGGGUUGUAUCUUCAAAUCUCUCUGCACUAUCUAUUGUAUUGACUAUUCUUUGGUAUUCUUUCAGGAAGCUUAUUAUACUGUAUGUCGGCCCCACAUUAUCCUUGAACCUGGAGUUGGCCCCUUCACUCCUUGCAGUGCUAUGUAGAAAUGGGCAGAAGUUUUCUUUAAAGAAUACAGUUGUCUCACCUGCUAGGAACGCACAGCCAAACAAGCAACUCUGUCCAUGGCCUGUAACACCAACAAAAGGAGCAAAAGGCAAGUUGUACCUGUUUGUCAUGACUGUAGUGUCAAAGCUGACUAGGUCUCCAUAUUCAGCAUAAUAUUCUAUGGAUGAAGAAUCACAGCAAAAUAUGUUUUUCAGUUUCUUGUCUUCAUCAAGAUCAAAUUUAUAGAAGAAUGAUAGGUCUUCUUUUUUCUUUUUUCUGAAGAAUUUCAAUACUUGUGUGAGAUCAUUCCCAGUAACUUGUCUGUUAAUCUUUGUUCUGAAAUUGCUGACUGCUUUCUUGUCACAAGGAUUAGCUGUCACACCUCCUCUUAAUGUCAACAAUAUGGCUACCAUUUUCCUUGUAGGAAUGUUGUUCUCAUUGAGUGUAUGUAUCAAGGACUUUUCUAUUUCAGUCGUACCUGUGCCCACUGAAUAGCUCAUUUCUUGACCCAGGACUAAGAGGGUGAUUGUGAUCAAGGUCCAAUCUUGUAAUCUUCCAAAAUCCAUUCACUUAACUACCAUAACCACAUGGCAAUCAGUUUUGAUUUCUAUGUUUAUGUUCCUUUUCAACACCCUGACUGCAUUGCCACCAUACUGAUUUUGCUGAACAUCUUUCUUAAUUCUUACUACUUUCUAUAGUUUUUGCAGCAGGCUUGCCAUGUUUGCUGCAUUUCAUUUCCUGCUUCACGAUCUCAUUGUUCCUUUUUCUACUCGUAGUUCUGACAAAAUGUGUCACAUUCACAGUGAACCCAGCAAGAUAAGCAUAGAAGUUGAAGUAGUGGUGAGCAUCCUCUCUACUCUUGAACUCUUGUCCAGUUUGUAGGGUGUAUAUGCUAUUCAAGUCUGCAUUGUUACCCUCUGAAGCUGCCACCAACUCUGUCUGUAUGAACGAGUCCACAUCAUCCUCUGUGAAUUCUCUACUCCCGUACCUUUCAUCUUGGUUGGUGUCUUCAACCUCUAUACCUUGUAUAGUAAGUUCUGUCGUGAUUGCAUCUGCAAUUAUUGUGUGUGCAGUAUCAGCCUGCAAAAACUUGCAGCCAUCUGAAGAUUCUGGAACCUGUGCAAUUCGUAUAAAGAAUCAAUAACACUUUUUGACAUUUAAAUUUUUUCAGAAUAAGUAUAUAAGUAUAUUUUUCCAUUCCUUACGCACAUGCUCCACAUGUAGGCCAUCAAAGAUAUCAAGCUGCCGGUUUGUGUCAUAAUCUCCACCCUCAAUAUGCUCAUCAUCAAUCUGGUCAUUAUGUACCUGUGCUUUUGGAUUGUUAGUUUUCAAAAAUAAACCCAAGUAUAUAACCAAUACAAAUUUCUUAAACUUAGUAACAACACCUCAUUGUUUGUGAUAGAGUUGCUUGCAGUGUCUGUGUCUGUGUCUGCGUCGAGGCUUGCCUCCAAAUUAAAAUUAUUGUCCUGAAAGUAUAUCACUUUAUUUGCAUCUUUCUUGCAAUUAAUUGCACAAAUUUGCAAGUAUUGUUAUUUCAAGAUUCCAGUACAGAGGUAAACAUGGUUUUUCUUUCUUUUUAUUUUUCCCGACCUGGUUAAUGGGCACUCCUGUCAACAUCUCAGUAAAAGACUGACCAUAAACCUGUAAGCAAAUAUUUUAUAUGAUUCCUUGUUUUCUUCCAAUCAGAGAUAAUGUGCGAGGAUGUUCAAAGGAAGGGGGAGUGAUAUGCAAAAGAAAAAAAGGUAGCUUACUUGCAACUCUGCAUCAAGGCUAGCACCCUCUUGUGAACCAGUGAUCUUAUUUAAUAUCUCUGUAUAUGUGCCUUGAAUAUCUCCCUGUCAGAAAAAUAGCCAGUUUCUCUUUUUUCUUCUUUUCACAUGUACUAUUCUUUUAAAUGCAAAAAUAAAUAUAUGUAGUUUUAAAUUUAUAAUAGAAACUUAUACACAACAGUCCAGGGUGUAUUCCAGAAAUCUGGCUCCACCUCUAUCCUUCCCAUAGAAUGAACCUGUAAAUAUGGGGGAAGAGAAAAUUAGUGUGAUGUGAAUUCUUUAUCUUUUUGUGCGCGGAGGUAUAUAUUAUCUACACAGAAUCGUUUGAAUUAUUCCGGCUCAAGUGCGCAGAUCAUUGCUGUACAGGCGAUAUGACCUCAACGCACUUCAAACGAAAUAACCCAAUGGUCUGUUGGGUAACGUCCCGAUGAAACCACCGGAUUCCGG